rnacentral:misc_RNA from 1 species
AAUUUAUAAUGAUUCACUGCACAUGGAAUUUCACUCUCUUCAGCGUUCUCCAGAGACCCUUUUAAGCCCAAAGGCCUUUCCUGAUUUUUCGAUAAAGCUUUAAUUUUUCUCUUCAGAUUUUUGGGAUCGUGAAGAACAACACCGUCCGGGAUGUCGAAACGAGGACGAGGAGGUUCCGCCGGGAACAAGUUCAGAAUGUCACUGGGU